GCCUUCGUGAUGCAGUGGUCAGGAUACUCGAUGCGUAUUCGAGAGGUCCGUGGUUCGAGUCUCGGCGAGGACA
rnacentral:tRNA from 1 species